UCCGAAAGCGCAAUCAUGUUGAUAGUGUUAUCAGCAUAAUUGAAUAAUAAUUGCUUGUACAUAGAUUGUUUAUCAUAAGCAAACGCGGAUAGCGAGCGGAACGAGUGUGUGAAUCGCGAACGUACAGAUUGUAGAGUGUUGAAAGGUCAAAAGGACCCAAGUCCAGACCUGGUCCAUCGGAUCAGGUGCUGCCCCCAAGCGAGCGCAAAUCAUACGCAUGCAUGCAUGUUUAUGUGUGUGUGUAUGUUUGUCCUCUCCUCGUGAGUGUGUGUGUAUGUGUGUGCGUGCGCGCGUGUGUGUGUAUAUUUAGGCUCGCCCAUCUUUAUCCCUUUUUGACGUUAUUAAUAAUUUUGACCAAUUUAACAAAUAUCCUCGGUGCCAAUUAUGCCAGCAGUGUUCGUGAGUGCAGUCUGACGAUCCAUUGGUAGACGAACCGGCCUCCCCGUGUGCUAAAGUGCAGCGUUUCUUCCUUCCUCUUCCUCAGAAUGGUUUGGUCCUGUUGUCAGAGCGAAGUGACAUGAUUCCGAAUGGUUGACGCUCGAACAACACAAAAAAGACACACAACAGAACUUUCUACAAAAACGAAACGUGCAAAUCAAC